GGAUUAGAUACCCUGGUAGUCCAUGCCGUAAACGAUGUCAACUAGCCGUUGGGCUCCUUGAGGGCUUAGUGGCGCAGCUAACGCGAUAAGUUGACCGCCUGGGGAGUACGGUCGCAAGACUAAAACUCAAAUGAAUUGACGGGGGCCCGCACAAGCGGUGGAGCAUGUGGUUUAAUUCGAUGCAACGCGAAGAACCUUACCUGGCCUUGACAUGUCUGGAAUCCUGCAGAGAUGCGGGAGUGCCUUCGGGAAUCAGAACACAGGUGCUGCAUGGCUGUCGUCAGCUCGUGCCG
rnacentral:rRNA from 1 species